rnacentral:rRNA from 1 species
GAUGAACGCUAGCUACAGGCUUAACACAUGCAAGUCGAGGGGCAGCAUUGGGAUAGCUUGCUAUUCCAGAUGGCGACCGGCGCACGGGUGAGUAACGCGUAUCCAACCUUCCCUAUAGUAGAGAAUAGCCCGGCGAAAGUCGAAUUAAUGCUCUAUGUUGUGUUUUGAGGACAUCUGACGAACACCAAAGGUUCACCGCUAUAGGAUGGGGAUGCGUCUGAUUAGCUAGUUGGCGAGGUAACGGCCCACCAAGGCGACGAUCAGUAGCCGUACUGAGAGGUAGAACGGCCACAUUGGGACUGAGACACGGCCCAAACUCC